UGGGAUUGCGCAUGGGCGCAGCCUGAUCCAGCCAUGCCGCGUGAGUGAUGAAGGCCUUCGGGUUGUAAAGCUCUUUCAACCGGGAAGAUAGUGACGGUACCCGUACAAUAAGCCCCUGCUAACUUCGUGCCAGCAGCCGCGGUAAUAAUCCAUGCCAGCAGCCGAGGUAAUA
rnacentral:rRNA from 1 species